GAGUUUGAUCCUGGCUCAGAUUGAACGCUGGCGGCAUGCCUUACACAUGCAAGUCGAACGGUAACAGGCCGCAAGGUGCUGACGAGUGGCGAACGGGUGAGUAAUGCAUCGGAACGUGCCCAGUCGUGGGGGAUAACUGCUCGAAAGAGCAGCUAAUACCGCAUACGACCUGAGGGUGAAAGCGGGGGACCGAAAGGCCUCGCGCGAUUGGAGCGGCCGAUGUCAGAUUAGGUAGUUGGUGGGGUAAAGGCCUACCAAGCCGACGAUCUGUAGUUGGUCUGAGAGGACGACCAGCCACACUGGGACUGAGACACGGCCCAGACUCCUACGGGAGGCAGCAGUGGGGAAUUUUGGACAAUGGGCGAAAGCCUGAUCCAGCCAUGCCGCGUGCAGGAUGAAGGCCUUCGGGUUGUAAACUGCUUUUGUACGGAACGAAAAGACUCUGGUUAAUACCUGGGGUCCAUGACGGUACCGUAAGAAUAAGCACCGGCUAACUACGUGCCAGCAGCCGCGGUA
rnacentral:rRNA from 1 species